CUACGGGUCGCACCAGUGAGGAAUAUUGCACAAUGGGGGGAACCCUGAUGCAGCAACGCCGCGUGGAGGAUGACGCAUUUCGGUGUGUAAACUCCUUUUAUAUGUCAAGAAAAUGACGGUAGCAUAUGAAUAAGCACCGGCUAACUCCGUGCCAGCAGCCGCGGUAAUACGGAGGGUGCAAGCGUUACUCGGAAUCACUGGGCGUAAAGGACGCGUAGGCGGGUUGGAAGGUCAGGUGUGAAAUCCUACAGCUUAACUGUAGAACUGCACUUGAAACUUCUAAUCUAGAGUAUGGGAGGGGGAGAUGGAAUUAGUGGCGUAGGGGUAAAAUCCGUAGAUAUCACUAGGAAUACCUAAAGCGAAGGCGAUCUCCUGGAACAUUACUGACGCUAAGGCGUGAAAGCGUGGGGAGCAAACAGGAUUAGAUACCCCUGUAGUC
rnacentral:rRNA from 1 species